GACGGAGGAUGCAGGCAUUAUCCGGAAUGAUUGGGCGUAAAGCGUCCGCAGGUGGCAGUUCAAGUCUGCUGUCAAAGACCGGGGCUUAACUUCGGAAAGGCAGUGGAAACUGAACAGCUAGAGUAUGGUAGGGGCAGAGGGAAUUCCUGGUGUAGCGGCGAAAUGCGUAGAUAUCGGGAAGAACACCAGUGGCGAAAGCGCUCUACUGGGCCAUAACUGACACUGAGGGACGAAAGCUAGGGGAGCGAAAGGG
rnacentral:rRNA from 1 species